GUGUGAAGACCUGAGGUAUCAGGGGUAGGGGUUGCUCUGCUUGUGUAAGUCCCAUAGUGUGAAGGCCAGAGAACCAAGAGAUGGUCAAGAAGAGAGAGUAAGUGUCCAAUGUCCCAGCUCAAGAAGAGAGAGAGCAUCACGACCUGUGCAGACUCCCCAGCAUCAUAACAGGAAGGUCCCACGAUCACGAGCACAUUGCCUUCAGCAUCCAGCACUGAAUAUGGUGAAUUGCACUCUGAAGAGCUUCCUAAGCUUGUAAGAAAGUGAUUCUGAAAAGCUCAACAUUUUGGUAGAAUGGAGAGAUUUGACAUUGCUUCUGCUCCAAAAGCAAAAGACUUGGGCCUGGCGUAAAGGAGAUGGGACUCACACCCAAGAGGAUGCAUUUCCAUACACCCAUUUCUGAAAUAUGAAGAGGUGUCCAGUCUGUUUGAUUCAUAGCUGCCUGUUCCACAACUGCAGAUACAGUAAUUGAUAACCGAGACCAAGUUCUCAUCCCCAUCUCCCAGGGCUGGAACUGGGGCUGUGUUUGGUUCUCAUAAGAUCAGUUCCAGUUUUAGAAACUGAGUAAAUUGUGGAGUAAAUAU
rnacentral:lncRNA from 1 species